UAUAUUGACUGUACAAAGGUAGCAUAAUCAUUAGUCAUUUAAUUGAUGACUUGUAUGAAAGAUUGGAUGAAAUAUAAACUGUCUCUUAAUUAAAAAUAGAAUUUAAUUUUUUAAUUAAAAAGUUAAAAUAAAUUAAAAAGACGAGAAGACCCUAUAGAGUUUUAUAUUUAAUUUGAUUAAGAUUAUUUUUAAAAUAAAAAAUUAAAAUUAAUUUAAAUAUUUUGUUGGGGUGAUAGAAAAAUAUAAUUAACUUUUUUUUUUAUUUUAACAUUUAUAAGUGGUUAUAUGAUCCAAUAUUAUUGAUUAUAAGAAAAAAUUACCUUAGGGAUAACAGCGUAAUUUUUUUUUUUAGUUCAAAUAAGAAAAAGAGUUUGCGACCUCGAUGUUGGAUUAAGAUAAAAUUUAAAUGCAGAAG
rnacentral:rRNA from 1 species